GGCCCCGUGGUGUAAUGGUUACACGUCUUCUAUCUGUAUAUUCGUCCCAUGAACCUUUAUGAGGAAGUUCCUUGUUCGAUUCAAGGCAAGGCCG